CCCGCCGGCGACCGGCGCACGGGUGAGUAACACGUAUGGAACCUGCCCGCAGCAGGGGGAUAAGCGGAAGAAAUUCCGUCUAAUACCGCGUAACACCGCAGAGGGCAUCCCUCGGCGGUUAAAGAUUCAUCGGCUGCGGAUGGCCAUGCGGCGCAUUAGCUAGUCGGCGGGGUAACGGCCCACCGAGGCGACGAUGCGUAGGGGUUCUGAGAGGAAGGUCCCCCACACUGGUACUGAGACACGGACCAGACUCCUACGGGAGGCAGCAG
rnacentral:rRNA from 1 species